ensembl:lncRNA
GGAUGGAACUCCCCCCCCACCUAGCGGCGAAAUCACAGACCAACACAAAAUGCGAGUGAGUAGCGACGGAUUGUGCAGCACGGAGAUGGCACGCCGAAUGGCUGACACUGUACGGAUUUGAUACUUGGGUUAUUUAUGUGACACUUCAAUAGAGACAGCCUUAAGGGAUGUUUCUUUUCGAGGUCUUCAGCCUUAUGUGCCUGGCUUCCCUCUGAAGAGCUGAAGCAGAGUAGAAGGUGCUGUGACAUGAUGAGCAGUGAGAGGAGGGUGCAGUGGCCACCAGUGGAAAAUCAAAUGAAAAGUGUUCACUACAUUUUCAAAUGAAAGGUGAUGGAGGAAAAAAGCUGAGUUUGGGACUGUUAUUAAGGACUGAUGCUGCUAGAUCUCGAGUUGUCCAGCUUUUGCUAAGUUUCCUCACCCUGAAACAUUUGGUCACUAAAAGGGAAGCCUGGAACCUCUGGUCCUAGUUGACAAUCAGCAGAAAAAUCAUGUACAGAAUACAACAUUCCUGUAAGUACUGUAGAAAUACUAACAGAGAUGUGAAUCUGUUGCAAAUGUCGGCUGUAACUAGUUCAUUUAUGGAUUCACUGAGUUAUGUCU